CACACAUACACACACACACACACACACACACACACACACACAACCUCUUGCAGGCAGACUCAGAAUCUUGAGCCCAUUUAUUAGGGAACAGGUGUUAUCGGGAUUCCAUCACUGCAUUCCCAGAAUCCUGCAUUGUGAAAGUCUUCCCUUUUUUUUUUAAAUGUACAAUGGCAUUUUAUUCUACAUACAAAACAACCAUAGUAUUUUUCAGGAAUGUGACAGCUGUGACUGCUCUCUCUCUCCUUCGUCUGCUGGGUCCUCUGUGUUUGCCUACCUGCUACAGGUAGCCAGUGGGCGGGGCUGAGAGGCUUGUCAGCUGAUGAGGUGCACCUGUGCAGGUCUGCCACGCAGGCUGUAGCCAGUCUCUCUCUCUUUCCACAGAGGCAGGUGGGCUUGGGUUCUGUUUAGGGUGGUUCCUUAAGGUUUUGGACCUUUGGAUUGGUUCCAUGUUUUGUGUUAUGUUAACACUAUUCAACAUCCCCACAGCACACUUUCCACUGCCCAUAUACAUAGGCUAGUCGAAAGAAUUGUGUGUUUGGUCAGUAGUUCAGUUGGUUGGUCACAUAUGUUGGUUUGCUGUUCAGGUUUGGUUUGUUGCAUUUUGUUUGGGUAUUUCCAACAUGGUAAAGAUGGUUUGUUGUUCCCAGUAUUUGUUUUGUCUGUCUGGGUAAGUUUCCUCCGUUCUGGCUCGGUCGGUCCUUGUGAUUUUGGUACUGGUUUUCUGUCCAAACCAUAUAAUCGCACAUUUUCUAAUCUUCCAUACGCUACACUAAUCCCUUUACAGAUUUCAUGAUACUUACUUUAUUCUAAUAAAUAACUUUAUCCCUUA